rnacentral:tRNA from 1 species
GCCCUUUUUGCAUGAUAUUCUCGCAUUCGUAAUGCGGGGGUCACAGGUUCGAGUCCUGUAAGCGGCACCA